GGGCUCGUGGCGCAGCUUGGAUAUAAAAAUUACCAAAGAGCGCAAAAGGUUCCUAACCUUUAGGUCGUGGGUUCAAAUCCCACCGGGCCCG
rnacentral:tRNA from 1 species